rnacentral:rRNA from 1 species
UACGUAGGGCGCAAGCGUUGUCCGGAAUUAUUGGGCGUAAAGAGCUCGUAGGCGGCCUGUUGCGUCCGCUGUGAAAUCCCCGGGGCUCAACCCCGGGCGUGCAGUGGAUACGGGCUGGCUGGAGGCAGGCAGGGGAGAACGGAAUUCCUGGUGUAGCGGUGAAAUGCGCAGAUAUCAGGAGGAACACCGGUGGCGAAGGCGGUUCUCUGAGCCUGUACUGACGCUGAGGAGCGAAAGCGUGGGGAGCGAACAGG